rnacentral:rRNA from 1 species
AUCGAACGCUGGCGGAAUGCUUUACACAUGCAAGUCGAACGGCAGCACGGACUUCGGUCUGGUGGCGAGUGGCGAACGGGUGAGUAAUGUAUCGGAACGUGCCCAGUCGUGGGGGAUAACGUAGUGAAAAUUACGCUAAUACCGCAUACGAUUUAUGGAUGAAAGCGGGGGAUCGCAAGACCUCGCGCGAUUGGAGCGGCCGAUAUCAGAUUAGGUAGUUGGUGGGGUAAAGGCCCACCAAGCCAACGAUCUGUAGCUGGUCUGAGAGGACGACCAGCCACACUGGAACUGAGACACGGUCCAGACUCCUACGGGAGGCAGCAGUGGGGAAUUUUGGACAAUGGGCGAAAGCCUGAUCCAGCCAUUCCGCGUGCAGGAUGAAGGCCCUCGGGUUGUAAACUGCUUUUGUACAGAACGAGAAGGUUUCUACUAAUACUAGGAGCUCAUGACGGUACUGUAAGAAUAAGCACCGGCUAACUACGUGCCAGCCGCCGCCGUAA